rnacentral:sRNA from 1 species
UGCCAUGGCAUCUUUACAUCUUCCCUGGGAAAGUGCCAAUGGGA